UUAAGCAUAUCAGUAAGCAGAGGAAAAGAAAACAACUGUGAUUCCCUUAGUAACUGCGAGUGAAGCGGGAUAAGCCCAUCGUUUAAUCUCCCCGGACUAUGUACGGGGCGAAAUGUGACGGUAUGGAUAGGUUCUCUAUCGACAAAGUCUGAUCAAAGUCCUCCGGAUUGAGGUGCCAGAGAGGGUGACAGCCCCGUGUGUGAUUGGACUGAGUCGCGUAUGUGACCGAUUCUGAGAGUCGGGUUGUUUGGGACUGCAACCUAAAGUAGGUGGUAAACUCCACCCAAGGCUAAAUAUUGACACGAAACCGAUAGCGAACAAGUACUGUGAAGGAAAGUUGAAAAGAACUCUGAAAAGAGAGUUAAAAGUACGUGAAACCGCUAACGGGGAAGCGGAAGGCAGUGUCGAGAUUGGGUGAGUGAGUCGGUUGAAGCGUGUUUGUUGUGUUGUGUUGAUGAUGUGUAAUGCGCGCUUGGAUCGGCUAGCUUUGCCUGAUGCGUCAGGACUAUUGGUGUGUGGUGGUUCAAUUGUUGGAGGAGGCUUCUUCGGAGCCUGGGUUCGCCUGGGACCGUGGUUGCGGCUGAUAAUCCGCCCCGCGCGCUGAUAUGUAUGAGAUGGAGCGUUGGUCACUGUUGUCGGUGUGGUGCUUCGUGCUGGUCACAUUGUGGCUACGUGCGGAGAAGUCAUGGUGUUUGACGACCAACGCUAGCUCCUGACGUGAUACCUAACUUUC
rnacentral:rRNA from 1 species